rnacentral:rRNA from 1 species
GUUAUAUGGUCAAGUGAAGAAGCGCAUACGGUGGAUGCCUUGGCAGUCAGAGGCGAUGAAAGACGUGGUAGCCUGCGAAAAGCUUCGGGGAGUCGGCAAACAGACUUUGAUCCGGAGAUCUCUGAAUGGGGGAACCCACCUAGGAUAACCUAGGUAUCUUGUACUGAAUCCAUAGGUGCAAGAGGCGAACCAGGGGAACUGAAACAUCUAAGUACCCUGAGGAAAAGAAAUCAACCGAGAUUCCCUUAGUAGUGGCGAGCGAACGGGGAUUAGCCCUUAAGCUUCAUUGAUUUUAGCGGAACGCUCUGGAAAGUGCGGCCAUAGUGGGUGAUAGCACCGUACGCGAAAGGAUCUUUGAAGUGAAAUCGAGUAGGACGGAGCACGAGAAACUUUGUCUGAACAUGGGGGGACCAUCCUCCAAGGCUAAAUACUACUGACUGACCGAUAGUGAACCAGUACCGUGAGGGAAAGGCGAAAAGAACCCCGGAGAGGGGAGUGAAAUAGAACCUGAAACCGUAUGCGUACAAGCAGUGGGAGCCUACUUGUUAGGUGACUGCGUACCUUUUGUAUAAUGGGUCAGCGACUUAUAUUCAGUGGCAAGCUUAACCGUAUAGGGUAGGCGUAGCGAAAGCGAGUCUUAAUAGGGCGUUUAGUCGCUGGGUAUAGACCCGAAACCGGGCGAUCUAUCCAUGAGCAGGUUGAAGGUUAGGUAACACUGACUGGAGGACCGAACCCACUCCCGUUGAAAAGGUAGGGGAUGACUUGUGGAUCGGAGUGAAAGGCUAAUCAAGCUCGGAGAUAGCUGGUUCUCCUCGAAAGCUAUUUAGGUAGCGCCUCAUGUAUCACUCUGGGGGGUAGAGCACUGUUUCGGCUAGGGGGUCAUCCCGACUUACCAAACCGAUGCAAACUCCGAAUACCCAGAAGUGCCGAGCAUGGGAGACACACGGCGGGUGCUAACGUCCGUCGUGAAAAGGGAAACAACCCAGACCGCCAGCUAAGGUCCCAAAGUUGUGGUUAAGUGGUAAACGAUGUGGGAAGGCUUAGACAGCUAGGAGGUUGGCUUAGAAGCAGCCACCCUUUAAAGAAAGCGUAAUAGCUCACUAGUCGAGUCGGCCUGCGCGGAAGAUGUAACGGGGCUCAAACCACACACCGAAGCUGCGGGUGUCACGUAAGUGACGCGGUAGAGGAGCGUUCUGUAAGCCUGUGAAGGUGAGUUGAGAAGCUUGCUGGAGGUAUCAGAAGUGCGAAUGCUGACAUGAGUAACGACAAUGGGUGUGAAAAACACCCACGCCGAAAGACCAAGGGUUCCUGCGCAACGUUAAUCGACGCAGGGUUAGUCGGUUCCUAAGGCGAGGCUGAAAAGCGUAGUCGAUGGGAAACAGGUUAAUAUUCCUGUACUUCUGGUUACUGCGAUGGAGGGACGGAGAAGGCUAGGCCAGCUUGGCGUUGGUUGUCCAAGUUUAAGGUGGUAGGCUGAAAUCUUAGGUAAAUCCGGGGUUUCAAGGCCGAGAGCUGAUGACGAGUCGUCUUUUAGAUGACGAAGUGGUUGAUGCCAUGCUUCCAAGAAAAGCUUCUAAGCUUCAGGUAACCAGGAACCGUACCCCAAACCGACACAGGUGGUCGGGUAGAGAAUACCAAAGGCGCUUGAGAGAACUCGGGUGAAGGAACUAGGCAAAAUGGCACCGUAACUUCGGGAGAAGGUGCGCCGGCUAGGGUGAAGGAUUUACUCCGUAAGCUCUGGCUGGUCGAAGAUACCAGGCCGCUGCGACUGUUUAUUAAAAACACAGCACUCUGCAAACACGAAAGUGGACGUAUAGGGUGUGACGCCUGCCCGGUGCCGGAAGGUUAAUUGAUGGGGUUAGCGCAAGCGAAGCUCUUGAUCGAAGCCCCGGUAAACGGCGGCCGUAACUAUAACGGUCCUAAGGUAGCGAAAUUCCUUGUCGGGUAAGUUCCGACCUGCACGAAUGGCGUAACGAUGGCGGCGCUGUCUCCACCCGAGACUCAGUGAAAUUGAAAUCGCUGUGAAGAUGCAGUGUAUCCGCGGCUAGACGGAAAGACCCCGUGAACCUUUACUGUAGCUUUGCACUGGACUUUGAGCCUGCUUGUGUAGGAUAGGUGGGAGGCUUUGAAGCGUGGACGCCAGUUCGCGUGGAGCCAUCCUUGAAAUACCACCCUGGCAUGCUUGAGGUUCUAACUCUGGUCCGUAAUCCGGAUCGAGGACAGUGUAUGGUGGGCAGUUUGACUGGGGCGGUCUCCUCCUAAAGAGUAACGGAGGAGUACGAAGGUGCGCUCAGACCGGUCGGAAAUCGGUCGCAGAGUAUAAAGGCAAAAGCGCGCUUGACUGCGAGACAGACACGUCGAGCAGGUACGAAAGUAGGUCUUAGUGAUCCGGUGGUUCUGUAUGGAAGGGCCAUCGCUCAACGGAUAAAAGGUACUCCGGGGAUAACAGGCUGAUACCGCCCAAGAGUUCAUAUCGACGGCGGUGUUUGGCACCUCGAUGUCGGCUCAUCACAUCCUGGGGCUGAAGCCGGUCCCAAGGGUAUGGCUGUUCGCCAUUUAAAGUGGUACGCGAGCUGGGUUUAGAACGUCGUGAGACAGUUCGGUCCCUAUCUGCCGUGGACGUUUGAGAUUUGAGAGGGGCUGCUCCUAGUACGAGAGGACCGGAGUGGACGAACCUCUGGUGUUCCGGUUGUCACGCCAGUGGCAUUGCCGGGUAGCUAUGUUCGGAAAAGAUAACCGCUGAAAGCAUCUAAGCGGGAAACUUGCCUCAAGAUGAGAUCUCACUGGGAACUCGAUUCCCCUGAAGGGCCGUCGAAGACUACGACGUUGAUAGGCUGGGUGUGUAAGCGUUGUGAGGCGUUGAGCUAACCAGUACUAAUUGCCCGUGAGGCUUGACCAUAUAACACCCAAACA